rnacentral:rRNA from 1 species
GACGAACGCUGGCGGCGUGCUUAACACAUGCAAGUCGAACGUGAUUUUUGUGGAAAUUCUUUCGGGAAUGGAAAUGAAAUGAAAGUGGCGAACGGGUGAGUAACACGUGAGCAACCUACCUUACACAGGGGGAUAGCCGUUGGAAACGACGAUUAAUACCGCAUGAGACCACAGAAUCGCAUGAUAUAGGGGUCAAAGAUUUAUCGGUGUAAGAAGGGCUCGCGUCUGAUUAGCUAGUUGGAAGGGUAAAGGCCUACCAAGGCGACGAUCAGUAGCCGGUCUGAGAGGAUGAACGGCCACAUUGGAACUGAGACACGGUCCAAACUCCUACGGGAGGCAGCAGUGGGGAAUAUUGCACAAUGGGGGGAACCCUGAUGCAGCGACGCCGCGUGAGCGAAGAAGGUUUUCGAAUCGUAAAGCUCUGUCCUAUGAGAAGAUAAUGACGGUAUCAUAGGAGGAAGCCCCGGCUAAAUACGUGCCAGCAGCCGCGGUAAUACGUAUGGGGCGAGCGUUGUCCGGAAUUAUUGGGCGUAAAGGGUACGUAGGCGGUUUUUUAAGUCAGGUGUGAAAGCGUGAGGCUUAACCUCAUUAAGCACUUGAAACUGGAAGACUUGAGUGAAGGAGAGGAAAGUGGAAUUCCUAGUGUAGCGGUGAAAUGCGUAGAUAUUAGGAGGAAUACCGGUGGCGAAGGCGACUUUCUGGACUUUUACUGACGCUCAGGUACGAAAGCGUGUGGAGCAAACAGG